AUUGAACGCUGGCGGCAUGCCUUACACAUGCAAGUCGAACGGCAGCACGGGAGCAAUCCUGGUGGCGAGUGGCGAACGGGUGAGUAAAGUAUCGGAACGUGCCCAGUCGUGGGGGAUAACGUAGCGAAAGUUACGCUAAUACCGCAUACGAUCUAUGGAUGAAAGCGGGGGAUCGCAAGACCUCGCGCGAUUGGAGCGGCCGAUAUCAGAUUAGGUAGUUGGUGGGGUAAAGGCCCACCAAGCCGACGAUCUGUAGCUGGUCUGAGAGGACGACCAGCCACACUGGGACUGAGACACGGCCAAGACUCCUACGGGAGGCAGGAGUGGGGAAUUUUGGACAAUGGGCGCAAGCCUGAUCCAGCCAUGCCGCGUGCAGGAUGAAGGCCUUCGGGUUGUAAACUGCUUUUGUACGGAACGAAAAGGUUUGGCCUAAUAAGCUGAGCUCAUGACGGUACCGUAAGAAUAAGCACCGGCUAACUACGUGCCAGCCGCCGCCGUAACAC
rnacentral:rRNA from 1 species